UACGGAGGGUGCAAGCGUUGUCCGGAGUCACUGGGCGUAAAGGGCGCGUAGGCGGCUCAUGAAGGCUGUGGUGAAAGUCCGGGGCUCAACCUCGGAUCGGCCGUGGCGACUCGUGGGCUGGAGCACUGUAGAGGCGGGUGGAAUUCCGGGUGUAGCGGUGGAAUGCGUAGAGAUCCGGAAGAACACCGGUGGCGAAGGCGGCCUGCUGGGCAGUUGCUGGACACUGAGGCGCGACAGCGUGGGGGAGCAAACGGG
rnacentral:rRNA from 1 species